UACGUAGGGCGCAAGCGUUGUCCGGAAUUAUUGGGCGUAAAGAGCUCGUAGGCGGUUUGUCGCGUCUGCUGUGAAAACCUCAGGCUCAACCUGGGGCUUGCAGUGGGUACGGGCAGACUAGAGUGCGGUAGGGGUGACUGGAAUUCCUGGUGUAGCGGUGGAAUGCGCAGAUAUCAGGAGGAACACCGAUGGCGAAGGCAGGUCUCUGGGCCAUUACUGACACUGAGAAGCGAAAGCAUGGGGAGCGAACAGG
rnacentral:rRNA from 1 species